rnacentral:rRNA from 1 species
AGAGUUUGAUCAUGGCUCAGAUUGAACGCUGGCGGCAGGCUUAACACAUGCAAGUCGAGCGGGGGAGGUUGCUUCGGUAACUGACCUAGCGGCGGACGGGCGAGUAAUACUUAGGAAUCUGCCUAUUAAUGGGGGACAACAUCUCGAAAGGGAUGCUAAUACCGCAUACGCCCUACGGGGGAAAGCAGGGGAUCACUUGUGACCUUGCGUUAAUAGAUGAGCCUAAGUCGGAUUAGCUAGUUGGUGGGGUAAAGGCCUACCAAGGCGACGAUCUGUAGCGGGUCUGAGAGGAUGAUCCGCCACACUGGGACUGAGACACGGCCCAGACUCCUACGGGAGGCAGCAGUGGGGAAUAUUGGACAAUGGGGGGAACCCUGAUCCAGCCAUGCCGCGUGUGUGAAGAAGGCCUUAUGGUUGUAAAGCACUUUAAGCGAGGAGGAGGCUCUCUUGGUUAAUACCCAAGAUGAGUGGACGUUACUCGCAGAAUAAGCACCGGCUAACUCUGUGCCAGCAGCCGCGGUAAUACAGAGGGUGCGAGCGUUAAUCGGAUUUACUGGGCGUAAAGCGUGCGUAGGCGGCUUUUUAAGUCGGAUGUGAAAUCCCCGAGCUUAACUUGGGAAUUGCAUUCGAUACUGGGAAGCUAGAGUAUGGGAGGGGAUGGUAGAAUUCCAGGUGUAGCGGUGAAAUGCGUAGAGAUCUGGAGGAAUACCGAUGGCGAAGGCAGCCAUCUGGCCCAAUACUGACG